AGCUUUAGCCUUCGUAGGUGACCUGCGGAGGAUCAUUA
rnacentral:rRNA from 1 species